AGAGUUUGAUCAUGGCUCAGAUUGAACGCUGGCGGCAGGCCUAACACAUGCAAGUCGAGCGGUAACAGGGGAAGCUUGCUUCUCGCUGACGAGCGGCGGACGGGUGAGUAAUGUAUGGGGAUCUGCCCGAUAGAGGGGGAUAACUACUGGAAACGGUAGCUAAUACCGCAUAAUCUCUAAGGAGCAAAGCAGGGGAACUUCGGUCCUUGCGCUAUCGGAUGAACCCAUAUGGGAUUAGCUAGUUGGUGAGGUAAUGGCUCACCAAGGCGACGAUCCCUAGCUGGUCUGAGAGGAUGAUCAGCCACACUGGGACUGAGACACGGCCCAGACUCCUACGGGAGGCAGCAGUGGGGAAUAUUGCACAAUGGGCGCAAGCCUGAUGCAGCCAUGCCGCGUGUAUGAAGAAGGCCUUAGGGUUGUAAAGUACUUUCAGUUGGGAGGAAGGCGUUGAUGCUAAUAUCAUCAACGAUUGACGUUACCAACAGAAGAAGCACCGGCUAACUCCGUGCCAGCAGCCGCGGUAAUAC
rnacentral:rRNA from 1 species